GAACUGCUGGACGCUGAACUUCUUCGCGUGAGCGUAGUCGAUGUUCUUCACCCCCUUCCACGUCACCCUCUUGCUCUUGUCGGCGCCGGGUCCACGGUUGUCGACCUCGGUGUAGAAGCACGUGUUGAGCCCGAAGUCACCGAACCAGGGCAGCCACCCGUCGGGGUGGAUCAGGUCGUCGAUCUGGGACUGCAAUAUGAAGGUCCUCGAGUACAUCUUCCAUGGCCGGCCGAGGAAGGUGGGCAGCUUGGUGCGGAAGUCGUAGUAGGCGGGGUCGGCGCUGAUGGUGCAGUUGUGGAGGAUGAUGGCGGAGGCCUGCUGCCGCAUCUUGCGUCCCUGCGCCGUCACGAUGUUCUGCUGGUUGUCGAGCGGCUUCCUUGCCAGAAUCAGGCAGUUCUGGAAGAUGGAGGCGGAGUCCCCGAAGAUGAAGUCGAUGGUGCCGGAGAUGGUGCAGUCGCGGUAGAACUGGCGGUGGGUGUGAACGUAGAGCGUGUCCUGAUACCCGUCGAUCCGGCAGUUGUAGAAGACGGACAUGUCGGACUGUACCCGGAGGGCUACCGCCUGAUGCUUUUCGGCGCCAGCAGAAUUCUCGAUCCAGAG
rnacentral:lncRNA from 1 species